rnacentral:rRNA from 1 species
UACGUAGGGUGCAAGCGUUAAUCGGAAUUACUGGGCGUAAAGCGUGCGCAGGCGGUUUUGUAAGCCAGAUGUGAAAUCCCCGGGCUUAAUCGUGGAAUGGCAUUUGGGACUGCAAGGCUUGAGUGCGGCAGAGGAGACUGGAAUUCCUGGUGUAGCAGUGAAAUGCGUAGAUAUCAGGAGAACACCGAUGGCGAAGGCAGGUCUCUGGGCUGACACUGACGCUCAUGCACGAAAGCGUGGGGAGCAAACAGG